CGUACCUUUUGUAUAAUGGGUCAGCGACUUAUAUUUAGUAGCAAGGUUAAGUGAAUAACGGAGCCGUAGCGAAAGCGAGUCUUAAUAGGGCGUUGAGUUUGUGGGAUCAGACCCGAAACCGAGUGAUCUAGGCAUGGCCAGGUUGAAGGUUAGGUAACACUAACUGGAGGACCGAACCCACAUCUGUUGAAAAAGAUCGGGAUGAGCUGUGCCUAGGGGUGAAAGGCCAAUCAAACUCGGAGAUAGCUGGUUCUCUGCGAAAUCUAUUUAGGUAGAGCGUCGACCGAAUACCCUCGGGGGUAGAGCACUGGAUGGGUAAUGGGGACUCACCGUCUUACUGAUCCUAACCAAACUCCGAAUACCGAGGAGUACUAGUCGGCAGACACACGGCGAAUGCUAACGUCCGUCGUGAAGAGGGAAACAACCCUAACCUCCAGCUAAGGCCCCUAAUUCAUGGCUAAGUGGGAAAGCAGGUGAGACGACCAAAACAACCAGGAGGUUGGCUUAGAAGCAGCCAUCCUUUAAAGAUAGCGUAACAGCUCACUGGUCUA
rnacentral:rRNA from 11 species